AAGCGAAACCGCCCCCGGCCGGGGCGGUCGCCGGGCCAUGGCGGCCCCGGCCUGAUGAGCUGC
rnacentral:hammerhead_ribozyme from 1 species